rnacentral:lncRNA from 1 species
CGCUCGCGAGCAAGCAACCCUCCGCGCUCUGGAGCCUCCUCAGCCUCCCGCACACCCCGAGACGCUCGCCCCGCUGGGCCUCGGUCCCCGCCUCCUCCCCCGUCCUUUUCCCCUCUCUCGCUCCCCACAUUGUCUCUGCCUCAUUUUCUCUCCUAGUUGAGGAUUAAAAAAAAAAAAAUCACCAUCAUCCUCAGGGAGCCCCCUCGCCCUCGGAAAACAAAACCAGACAUGAUCCUCGGCUCCUGCUUCUGAAAGAUCUGCCCGACCGAGGAGGAGGGAGCCUAGGUUCAAGUCGCGGGAAAGGUCACGGCAGGGAAGCCCCCUCAGCCCCUCCGCGUCGCCUCCCCGCGGGCCGCCCCUCUCGGCCCUGCGCCCCGCGGCCCCGCAGCCUCCGCGCGGCCUCCCGCCCCAUCCCCGCCACUUUCCCCGGAGCUGGGCCGCGAACACCUCUCUAUUGAUGGUGUAGCGCUUUAGGGGAAGCAUUUUUGAAACGUUGGGGUUGUUGGAGUGGUUGGAUUUUCCCUGGAAUUGAGUGAGAAAUUCAGAAGACUGAAGCCCAGGCUUACUGUCUACCUUUCACGGAGGCCUAGCCGUGAGAGGACAGAAGAAGGCACGUGGCGAAUCAUGACAGCGGACAAAGACAAAGACAAAGACAAAGAGAAGGACCGGGACCGAGACCGGGACCGAGAGAGAGAGAAAAGAGACAAAGCAAGAGAGAGUGAGAAUUCAAGGCCACGCCGGAGCUGUACCUUGGAAGGGGGAGCCAAAAAUUAUGCUGAGAGUGAUCACAGUGAAGACGAGGACAAUGACAACAAUAGUGCCACCGCAGAGGAGUCCACGAAGAAGAAUAAGAAGAAACCACCGAAAAAAAAGUCUCGUUAUGAAAGGACAGAUACCGGUGAGAUAACAUCCUACAUCACUGAAGAUGAUGUGGUCUACAGACCAGGAGACUGUGUGUAUAUCGAGAGUCGGAGGCCAAACACACCGUAUUUCAUCUGUAGCAUUCAAGACUUCAAACUGGUCCACAACUCCCAGGCCUGUUGCAGAUCUCCAACUCCUGCUUUGUGUGACCCCCCAGCAUGCUCUCUGCCGGUGGCAUCACAGCCACCACAGCAUCUUUCUGAAGCCGGGAGAGGGCCUGUAGGGGUAAGGAGAAUCCCGUUUUUAAAAGCUAUCAGUAUUUUAUAUCCCAUAGGGUAUAAAAUAGGAA